rnacentral:rRNA from 1 species
UACAGAGACUGCAAGCGUUGUUCGGAUUCAUUGGGCGUAAAGGGUCCGUAGGCGGUGUGGCAAGUCGGGAGUGAAAUCUCUGGGCUUAACCCAGAGGCUGCUUCCGAAACUGCCAUGCUGGAGUGUGGGAGAGGCGAGUGGAAUUGCAGGUGUAGCGGUGAAAUGCGUAGAUAUCUGCAGGAACACCCGUGGCGAAGGCGGCUCGCUGGACCACAACUGACGCUGAGGGACGAAAGCUAGGGGAGCAAACAGG